UGUCCUUGCUUAUCUCCCGAAUAGAAUAGAAAGACGAAGUCGGCUAUUUUUAACGUAUACGACAAUGAGCAGCUUGGGUGCCUCCUUGUGCCACCAAUGUGCCUGCUUGCUUACCAUCAUCUUCCAAUUAGAGGGUUGCUGCCGCCCAUAGCUUCCAUCAUAAACUUCUGAUCAUUAACAAAAGACUUCACGGUGGUUUUCCUCUAGAUUUGCCACCUCCUGGUUUAUAGCCUUGCCAGAUGCCACUAGACAUGUUUUUCCACUGAUAUACUAUACCACCGCCUCUCUUGUUUGUUUUACUUUAUAUUUCAAAAACGCUUUUUCUACUUCACACAACCACUAUCCAUGGCUCCAACUUCUGAAAUUUUGAGAAAACUCUUCUCAAUAUCGUAUGUACAAUAAACUACACCCCCAACACUGCGACAGCUGACAACCGGCAUAUCCUUCUUCCGUUGUUUCUUGAUACAAACCACAACCUUCUGUUCUUGAUAAUUUGCAACACAAGCAUUAUGUAUUCCAAUGUAAGUACACUUAGGGAAAAGAGAUGUGACUACUUUGGAGGCUUAAAUGUAUAUUUGAUUAUUGUAAAAAUUUGAAAAAGGGUUUUUCAUAAUCUUUGUUAUUUGAAGCAAACAGGGUUGUUGAAUGAGUAAUUUAUUAGGUUUGGUAUGAAUAAAUAUGGAUAACAUUCUUUGAACGUAUCUCAAAUCAGAUGAAGAGAAACAGAGGUAUGUGUUAAUUAUUGUCUGUUGAGUGGAAUUUGAUACACGUCGAUUAGGUGCUUAAAAUCCUCCAAUAAGAACCGUGGGCGGACAUUUUUAACCUUUCUUACAUAAGAGCCUUCAAAGAUGGGUUUGCUUCAACUGCCUAUUCUUUGUAACUUAUACUGCAUCAGCUGUUUGCCUCCUUCACACCACCACCUCAAUUACAUGCCUAAAGGUGAGUCACUUUCUCUCUUUUCUAACAUCAUUUCCUCUUCCACCACCUCCUUCUUUGUUUUGUGGCCUCAUAUCACUACAUCAGCUGAAGUCGUCGCAAUUUGGGCCAACUGGGUCGCCGGAGUCCAGGUAGCUAAUAAUGCUUGUUACCGCCUUAUCAGGAAAGUAGAACUUUGUGUUUCUAAUUAAUUGAAGAACCAAAGCUUGAACUAUAGCUUAAGGUUAAUUGAUUUGAAGUUAUGCCACUGAUCCUUCUCUCACAUCCGCAAGGCAAACCUUAAACAUAUCAAUAUAUACAACCAUCUCUCGGUAAGUUCUAUCUAAAGGUUUUUAGAUCAUCCACUUAUAUACUUUUUCUUUGAUUAAUUUUCUUGGAUUAUUUAUUUGAAAAAAAAAUAGAAUUGUUGCAACUUGUUAGAAUUUUAAAUGAUAAUCAAAGUUUAUUUGAUGGUCAUAGAUCAGUUGUUCGAUGAAAAGGAUAAACCAACUCUUAUGGUCAAUAAAUUGGUUCACUAUUGAAAUGGACCCACCUUGGAAUCCAUAUGAUUUGGAAACAAUCUUGCUAUUUGUCUUUCUUGUUGCUUUAUGUACAAUUUUUUCUAUGUUUGUGUUGGUGUUUGGUUGACGCAUCAUUAAGAUGAACUUUAUCUUCCCUUUUAUAGUGAAGAAAAUUAGUUAAAAGCAAGAAGGGGAGAGUUACAACUAUUAUAGUUUGGGGGAUAGAACUGUAUUUAUGUCACUGAGUAUGUUUCAGAUUAUGAUACCCAUUCUUUUGUACAUAUACGUGGAGAUUGUGUAUGUUAGUGAACCUUACUUUCUGAUCGGAGUGCCAACUGAAAGAUGAAGUUUCAAUGUGCAAGCAGUGAGGGUGUAGAUUAUACUGGUAGAAAACAUAGAAGAAGAGGGAUGCAACAUUCAAGGUAUUAAAAGUUCCUUUUUUUCAUUGGGUUACACAUAAAAUAGCAAUGUGUUUAUAACAGUUCCUUUUUUCUAUUACAUUGAAUUUCCACCGGUUUGAAUGCUUUAAUCGUUCAUAGUUUCUAGAUUCGUACUCAUAUGAACAUGUAAUUUAGUAAAUUAAGGUACAUAAUUGUAAGAUGACAUUUCAAUUUGAUGUCAUUUGUUAGAAGGUUUGACUUAUCAUGUUUUUGUUGCAAUUAUUUAUUACUACUAUGUUUCAUUGCUUUCAAGGAAAUAGUGGAAAUCUUCAAUUUAGUAGCGUCUACCCAAGAAAAUCAAAUUUAUUGCAUUUUGGUGUUAAUCUAAUAUGAUAUUAAUCCCAUGUGAUUAGUUAUAUUGUGUAUUUUAGGCACCAUAAGUCGAGAACCUAAGAACCUACAACUUGAGCAAUAACUUGGAUCUGGCAUAAUUAAUUCUUACUAAGAAUUUAUGAUGGUGUUGAAAUCCCCAAGUUUGAGACCAUUCCAUCAAAAUUGUCUGUGAGUUUCUUGAAUUCUCAUUUGGUAGUAAUUGUAUAUCUAUAAUUUUGAGUCAUUGCAGCUUACAAGUCCAGUAUCCAUUAAAGUUGGUAUAUUGGAGCUAUUGGGUAUUACGUAGUGCUUAUUUUUUUUAAUCAUUAAAUUAAUAAAAUAACUUAUUUUUAUCAUUGGGUUAUAAUUUUGAAAUAAAUUGAACUUCAAUUUUUUAAAUAUGAUAAGAUAUAUAAACAAUCAUUUUAGACUUUUGGAUGUUUUGAGUUACUUUCAUGUAUAGUAUGUAUAGUACUAAAUUUGAACCUCAAUCAUGAGUCUUUCACAUCAUGCAUGUAUGAUCGUGAUGAGGAAACAUCAAUUGGUGCUUCUGAUGACUUAAAGAUUAGUUGCUAAUUGCUCAAAGAUCUGGAUUUUGAGGGAUCUAUUUCCUACUUCCAGUUGAAUGAGGACCAGAAAGUCGUGCAAGGGUGGUAAGGAUUCUAGGCAUCUUCUUUAAUUGAAGAAUUAAUAAUGUCCAAAUUAGUCUUCAUCUCAUCUGAGGUUGGAUGAACCUAUAUAAUAUAUUCCAUGCGUAAGAGAUAAAUGAAGAAAGCAACAGGCGACAUACUUGAUAAAGGAGAAUGCACUGCCCGGAUGAUUACCGCUCUUAUUAGAAAAUGGAGUUAUAAUGGUGCAUUAUUGUCAUUAGCUUUUAUUUCAGUUAAUAUAAUCCAAAUUUGGCCUUCGCUUUUUGAAAUAUAAGGUUAUGCUUUGUGGAAAUUGUAUAACUAAGUUAUGUAAUUUGUGUUUGAAGUUUCACAUGUGGAACCAGUUAUUGGGAUAACAUCAUGCAAACUAAUUAACUGUUUGAUGGAAUUCUUGGAUGGAAUGAUCCAUUUUGUCACUUUAUUUUCUACAAUACAUUUUGAACCUUUCUUGGUUGCUUGUCCUGAACAGUUAUGUGAACCAAACUCAAAUGGGUUUUUAAAUGUAAAUGAUGUUUGUAAAAGUAAAUUACAUAAUCUGCCCUUUUAACGUUCAGUUUUCUUAUAUUGGUGAUAAAGUUUUGAUUAAUUUUUAUAGGUCGUGAUGAUGAGUUUGCAUCUUUCUGGUUGGAUUCAAGUAAAGUUUAGAUUAUCCACAUCUUGUCGAGGCAAAUUAGAUGGUUAUAUUAUCAAAAGAAAUUUUUAAUUUCUCUUUUUACAAUGCAACCGGUAUGUUUGUAAUUAUGGAAGAUGUAUCCUCUUUGUUUGAUCA